rnacentral:rRNA from 1 species
AAAGAGCUCGUAGGCGGACUGUUGCGUCUGCUGUGAAAAGCUGGGGCUUAACCCUGGCCUUGCAGUGGAUACGGGCAGACUAGAGGUAGGUAGGGGAGAAUGGAAUUCCCGGUGUAGCGGUGAAAUGCGCAGAUAUCGGGAGGAACACCGGUGGCGAAGGCGGUUCUCUGGGCCUUACCUGACGCUGAGGAGCGAAAGCGUGGGGAGCGAACAGGAUUAGAUACCCCAGU